rnacentral:rRNA from 1 species
CCUACGGGGUGUAGCAGUGGGGAAUAUUGGACAAUGGGCGAAAGCCUGAUCCAGCCAUGCCGCGUGUGUGAAGAAGGCCUUCGGGUUGUAAAGCACUUUCAGUGGGGAAGAAAGCCUUGGGGCUAAUACCCUCGAGGAAGGACAUCACCCACAGAAGAAGCACCGGCUAACUCCGUGCCAGCAGCCGCGGUAAUACGGAGGGUGCGAGCGUUAAUCGGAAUUACUGGGCGUAAAGCGCGCGUAGGCGGUCUGAUAAGCCGGUUGUGAAAGCCCCGGGCUCAACCUGGGAACGGCAUCCGGAACUGUCAGGCUAGAGUGCAGGAGAGGAAGGUAGAAUUCCCGGUGUAGCGGUGAAAUGCGUAGAGAUCGGGAGGAAUACCAGUGGCGAAGGCGGCCUUCUGGACUGACACUGACGCUGAGGUGCGAAAGCGUGGGUAGCAAACAGGAUUAGAUACCCCUGUAGUC